rnacentral:rRNA from 2 species
GUUCUCCCUGACCCUUUAAGGGUCCUGAAGGAACGUUGAAGACGACGACGUUGAUAGGCCGGGUGUGUAAGCGCAGCGAUGCGUUGAGCUAACCGGUACUAAUGAACCGUGAGGCUUAACCUU